rnacentral:rRNA from 1 species
CCUACGGGAGGCAGCAGUGGGGAAUAUUGCACAAUGGGGGAAACCCUGAUGCAGCGCCGCCGCGUGGGUGACGAAGGAUUUAGGUAUGUAAAGCCCUAUCAGCGGGGAGGAAGAUGACAGUACCUGACUAAGAAGCCCCGGCUAACUACGUGCCAGCAGCCGCGGUAAUACGUAGGGGGCAAGCAUGAUCUGGAUUUGCUGGGUGGAACGGGAGCGUAGGUGGCAUGGCAAGCCAGACGGGGAAACCCGGGGCUUAACCCCGCGGAUUGCUUUUGGAACUGGCAGGCUGGAGUGCAGGAGGGGCAGGCGGAAUUCCAGGUGUAGGGGUGAAAUGCGUAGAUAUCAGGAGGAACACCGGUGGCGAAGGCGGCCUGCUGGACUGUAACUGACACUGAGGUGCGAAAGCGUGGGGAGCAAACAGGAUUAGAUACCCUUGUAGUC